AAUUAUGGUGGGGCGUGCAGGGGCAUCGAAAGAUGCGCCGGGGUCAUGUGCGACCGGUUACGCCAACCCUGUACGUCUCACCACCUCU
rnacentral:antisense_RNA from 13 species